rnacentral:tRNA from 1 species
ACCGAAAAAGCGCAGUUGGGAGAGCGUUAGACUAUAGAUCGAAAGGUCCCUGGUUCGAUCCGAGGAUUCGGCA